GGAUGGGACAAAAGUGAGCCCAUGAACUAAAUUCUCCACCUUAUCCUGUUGAAUUUAGGCUAUGCUAGUGUGAAAAUUCCAUAUUAUGCAAUACAUAAUUAUUUGUUCUUUGUUAGCACUGUUGAAAUUUCUAAUCCGCAGUAUCUAAAGUAUGUCUCCAACAGUCACUCACAAAUGUCCUCUUCUCUGAAACGCUGCACAUCCUACACCAAAUACGAGAUCAGAAAGCGAAACCCUGAACCAAAAUCAUGUGCCCUAUUGGUAAUCGACGUGCAAAACCACUUCUCAUCCAUGGCCACCCCAAUCCUCCAUAACCUCAACACCACCAUCUCCCUCUGCCGCCGCGCCUCCAUCCCCGUCAUCUUCACUCGCCACUGCCACAAGUCACCCUCCGACGCCGGCAUGCUGGAGGAGUGGUGGUCCGGGGACCUCAUCGUCGACGGCACGGCGGAGGCCGAGCUCCUGGAGGCUCUGGACCGGAAAAGCAGCGACCUUGUGGUGGAGAAGAGCACCUACAGCGCGUUCAGGAGCACUGGCUUGGAAGAGAAGUUGGUGGAGAUGGGUGUGAAGGAGGUCAUAGUGACAGGUGUCAUGACCAACCUGUGCUGCGAAACGACGUCGCGUGAGGCGUUCGUGAGAGGGUUUAGGGUUUUCUUCUCCGCGGACGCCACUGCCACCUCUGACGUGGAGCUUCACGAGGCCGCUUUGAAGAACUUGGCUUAUGGUUUUGCUUACUUGGUUGAUUGCCAGAGGCUUCAACAUGCCCUCUCUGGUGCCAAGUGAAUUCAUCAACCGUGUGUUAAUUGGACGAACAAUUUUGAGAGGAGUACGCUGCUCUUUGAUCUACCUGCAUUUCUUCUCUAAUCAGAUUUAGGUCGAAUGUUGUUCGCGGUCAUGUUGAGGAAAUUGACAAGGCAAUUAGUGAGUAUUCUUAGGAAAUGGGCAUCAAGUCGAUUUACUAGUCUAUGUAGUAGCAGGUUUUUAUAGUUUUUGGAUUAUUAGAAGCACAACUAUGGGUUUUUGUGAUGUAUGUUGUCUAAUCAAAUCCUUCAAGGAUGGUAUUGUAGGAUUUGGAUUUCAACUGCCCGGUUACCAAUGCAUGUAAAGUGAUUAAUUAUACAUUCAUCAUCGUCAUAGUACACCAAUAUAGGGAGAAUUUAUUGUAUGAGAAUGAUUAUCUUAUCUUAAAAUGAAAAUGAUUAAUUUUA